CCUCCCUAAUUAAAGCAAUCCCAGCGCAGAUUAUUUUGCCUGAACUUACUCGACUGAGAGAAAUUAUACAUACCAAGAGUUUAAAAGCACAUUCAGAACAGGAAAGAAAUAUGAUGUAAAAUUCAAGGUAGUAAAAGACCUUUGCAUGAAUUGUAUGCAUACCUACUCUGAAGUAUUUCCAUCAGCUGCAACAACCUAUUUACAACAGAUAUAGAGACACUAACCCUUCUAGAAAAGGAAGAGUGUGUCAAGCAACUGAGAGUGACUGAGUGGCAUUCAUAUGGGCUAAUGAUCUGGCCCAUGCAAAUGGUGGAAGAGCUUCCCAGUCCCAAUUCCGCUGCACCCUGCAAGCACCACACUUCUGUAUGAUUGCACUGGUAGAAAAAGAGGAUCCGUGCCACAGCUUUUUGCAGGACUUUACAUAAAGGCUUCUCAGCACAUCUGUGAAUAACUAGAAAAAUGGUUGAGGGAAGUAAUGGUGCAGACACCAGCCUGAACUGCAAUUCUUCCCUAUAGCUAUCAGGGCAGAGAGCUGUAAAGCGUACAGUGCCACUCCUAUUUCAUAAUUUUUUGCACUUUGACUAAAAGAUGCUAUAUGUGAUCCAAAAAUUCUGCCACUUAUACAUUAACUGUGUGGUUGUGAAACUACUAGCAUGAAUUUUUUUCUGAAUGAGGUGUUAACAUGAACACAUGUACAUAUAGACAUACACUUGAAGAAGCAACUUAAGUCUUUCUAAGAGUACUUCAGUUUGAGGUAGUAAUAAUUAUAAAAAAUGUUAAAAAAUGUUCUAUUUUUAAAAUGGCAGUAUGUAACUGAUGCCUGAUGGAAAAGUCAGUGCAGAGAGAAUAGAACACAUCAAAUAAAUAAACUGAAAGAAAAGAAGGAAAGAAAUAUUAGAGAAUAGGGAAGAUGGAGGAAAGUACACACACACACACACACACACACACAAAGCAACAACAAC
rnacentral:lncRNA from 7 species